rnacentral:tRNA from 1 species
UCCCUGGUGGCUUGAUUGGUAAAGAAUCUGCCUGCAAUGCAGGAGAUCCAGGUUCUAUUCCAGAUCUGGGAA